GGUACUAUUCGAAUAAGCACCGGCUAACUCCGUCCAGCAGCCGCGGUAAUACGGAGGUGCGAGCGUUAUCCGGAAUUAUUGGGUUUAAAGGGUGCGUAGGCGGAAAUUUAAGUCAGUGGUGAAAGCCUGCAGCUUAACUGUAGAAUUGCCAUUGAUACUGGAUUACUUGAAUCUAAUAGAAGUAGGCGGAAUAUGACAUGUAGCGGUGAAAUGCUUAGAUAUGUCAUAGAACACCGAUAGCGAAGGCAGCUUACUAUGUUAGUAUUGACGCUAAUGCACGAAAGCGUGGGGAGCGAACAGGAUUAGAUACCCUGGUAGUCCACGCCGUAAACGAUGAUUACUCGCUAUUGGCGAUACACUGUCAGUGGCUAAGCGAAAGUGAUAAGUAAUCCACCUGGGGAGUACGAUCGCAAGGUUGAAACUCAAAGGAAUUGACGGGGGCCCGCACAAGCGGUGGAGCAUGUGGUUUAAUUCGAUGAUACGCGAGGAACCUUACCAGGUCUUAAAUGCAUAACGAACGAUUGGGAAACCAAUCUUUCUUCGGACGGAAUGCAAGGUGCUGCAUGGUUGUCGUCAGCUCGUGCCGUGAGGUGUCAGGUUAAGUCCUAUAACGAGCGCAACCCCUAUUCUUAGUUGCCAGCGGUUCGGCCGGGGACUCUAAGAAAACUGCCAGUGCAAGCUGUGAGGAAGGUGGGGAUGACGUCAAAUCAUCACGGCCCUUACGACCUGGGCCACACACGUGCUACAAUGGUAGGUACAAAGGGCAGCCACUUGGCGACAAGGAGCUAAUCUCUAAAACCUAUCUCAGUUCGGAUUGGAGUCUGAAACUCGACUCUAUGAAGCUGGAAUCGCUAGUAAUCGCGCAUCAGCCAUGGCGCGGUGAAUACGUUCCCGGGCCUUGUACACACCGCCCGUCAAGCCAUGGAAGCUGGGAGUACCUGAAGUCGGUAACCAUAUAGGAGCUGCCUAGGGUAAAACUAGUAACUGGGGCUAGUCGUAACAAGGUACCCGU
rnacentral:rRNA from 1 species